rnacentral:lncRNA from 1 species
UCUUUACUUACAAAGCUCUUAACUAUAGUACAACUUCAGGUGCGUGGCGUUCCAGGAGCGAGGAAUCGCCCCUCCUUCCAGCGUCUCUAAGCGGUAGGCGCCGUUCCCGAGCGCCUCGGUUAUUCUGAACGGUACAGUCCACUUGGGCGACAGUUUAUUCUCCAUCUCGUACUGGUGGGCCUUCCUCAUCACCAGGUCGCCUUCUCUAAACUGCCUUGGCAUCACCUUCGAGUUAUAUCUUCGUUCAAUCCUCCUCUUCACCGCCUCAGCCUUCAAUCUCGCCUCUUCCCUGACCUCAUCCAGUAGAUCCAGGUUCAGCCUUCUCUCUUCAUUCGAGUCUUCCUCUACGAAGUUCUGGAAUCUCGGCGAGCUCUCCU